CUGGUCAUCCAUCUAUGCAUUUAUAUAAGGAGAUCUAGAGCGUCCCAACAAUAAUUGCAAUCAUGCAUCGACGAGAGAUUUGGACCAGCUCUAUAAAUUAAACAGAAUGCGAUGACAGCCUUGAGGCGGAGAGAAAAUCAUCUCAAUGACCAGGAGAGAACACUGACUGGCAACAGCAGAUGGGAAUCAGUCCAAAGGAAGAAGUGUCUUAAUCACUAUUUUUGCAUACAAAUACUAUCUCUAUGUAAUUUGUGCCUGGGAAAAACAACCUCUGUUAAUCUUUCUUUUUUAAGCUAUUUUCUUUUUCCUAAAAUAAUUAAAGUUUUUUCAGAAGGACAAUGGGACUUCUUUC